UACAGAUGACAUUAAUUGAGGCCAUGGAGCCAAACAUACUCAAAGAUUUUGAAAAAGCAAGCUGACAUAAAUCCUAUAAUCCCAAGGAAAUGAGUUUUACCAACAACCAGAGAAAGGUUGGAAGCAGAUUCUUUCUACGUAGAGCCUCCAGAUGAGAACCAGCUAAGUCAUGCCUGGACUUCUGACCCACAGAAACUGAGGGAUAAUAAAUGUUUUAAGCCACCAAGUUUGCGAUAAUUUGUUACAAAGCAUAGAAAGCUAACACAGAUGACUUGAAUUCUAAAUUCCAUGUAAAAUUUUAUAACUUUUCUCUUUAUGUAUUCAGAUAAACAAUAUUCCUUACACACAUUUGAAAACAUAUCAAUAUAAGACAGC
rnacentral:lncRNA from 1 species